UACGUAGGGACCAAGCGUUGUUCGGAUUUACUGGGCGUAAAGGGCGCGUAGGCGGCGAAUCAAGUCAGUUGUGAAAUCUCCGAGCUUAACUCGGAACGGUCAACUGAUACUGUUUUGCUAGAGUGCAGAAAGGGCAACCGGAAUUCUUGGUGUAGCGGUGAAAUGCGUAGAUAUCAAGAGGAACACCUGAGGCGAAGGCGGGUUGCUAGGCUGACACUGACGCUGAAGCGCGAAAGCGUGGGGAGCAAACAGG
rnacentral:rRNA from 1 species